GCAAGCGAUUUGGGAUAUAGUUUGUUAUCCAAAAAGAAUUGGGUGAGUAUUGGGAAUUUUCUUCGAAGGAAUGUUACGCUUUUGGCCUAGUGGCUGUGGAAUUUCCCUAUUGAACCCCACGACAUUUGGUACAAUUUUGAGAGCAAAGUAUGGAGUUCACAUGAAUGAUUUGCAUUUUGCUACAUGGAUAGAAUUACUUUGUUAUGUCCAUGAAGGAGCAUAAUUCAAAUCCUUGCUAAGCUUGUACAUCCAUUCAAUAUUUUGUUGUCAGUGGAGAUAAGCUUACGUUUCAGAGGAUGGAGUUGCAUCGCCCCUGUCAGAUUUCUAAUUUGUUUAUUGCCUUUAAUUAUAGUGACAAGUCUUUUAGUUAGUGUUUUCUGCUGGUCUAUGUUGAGGUUUUGGUAUUCUCAUAUUUUUUGAGAAACUUGGAGGUAGAGGAUGUCAUAUUACAACUUAUCGACACUGUUCUUCUGUCAUCUAAAUAUCAAUACUUGGUGUGGUUUCGAGUCUAGAAUAGAAUCUAGAGGGCACAAAGCUGGAUCCACACUAAUAACCAGUAUCAGGUUGAAAAGCUUGAAGACUAAGG